GAUUUGGCGGAGGAUUCUUCGCCAUUCUAGCCCCAGUUUUCAAUCAGCCAAACUUUAACACCUAAGCACAUUCUUAGUUGGAGGAGUCAAAUUUUGAGGAUCUUUAUGCUGCAGAUAUGAGGCGUCAAUGGUAGCUUUUGAUUUGGCACAGGGUUAACUUUUUCUCUCUUCAAGAUCUGAAUUUUGGGUACAAGAAUUCUGCUUUCAGGGAACAGAGGAAGUGGACCAAUCCCUUACUAAAGAGAUGCUCACUUUACGGUAAAAGCUGAAUAUUUCUUGUUGGUUGCUGUCAGAAUGGUUGACGGUUGUUGAAUUACUAUCUGAGUGAAGUUCAUCAAAAUUAAGUGGUUGGGAAACCUUUUCUCUCUUCAACAUUUGGUACUUAUUUGGAUGCAAGUGGAUGCCAUGUAUUGGCUCACCAAUUUGCAACACCUAUUCAUUCAUAACUGCCUCAAGUUAAAUGAUAGAAGUGCUGAGAGUAUCAGCCAAUUCUGGUCCAAUGACAGGGAAUGGAUUAAAGAGGAAGCUGUUUGAAGUUAACACAUAUAUAAUUACAACAAUGUGUGUGGCCAAAUUCUAUUAUAUUCAGUUGGAAGAACAAUUAAUUACUUUAUGAUUGAACAAAGCUGAUGAAUGUGCUCCCAUACAAUGCCUCACUGCAUUAUUACAUCAUCAAGAGGAAGUUUAUGUGAUAUCAGGAAAUGUUGGGGGAAGUCGUGGUAGUAUUUCAACCUAGGUCCUCUAAUGCGUGAACAGAUGAGCUCUCAAUGGAAGCUUCUGAUUUGGUGCAUGAUUAAAUUUUUUCUCUCUCUUCAAGAGCUGAAUUUUGGGUACAAGAAUGCUACUUUUGGGCAGCAAAGGAAGAGAUCUAAUCCCUUACUAAAGAGAUGCUCUCCGGUGUUAUUCAGAGUGGUCGAUAAUUUUCCAGAAGUUAUUACCAUGUUAUGCUCACUUUACAGUAAAAGCUGGAUAUUUUUUAUUGGUUGCUGCCAGAAUGGUUAAUGAUUGCUCCCGGUCUAAUGGAGUGUUGAUUUGAGUGUUAUCUGGUUGAAGUUCAUCAAAAAUUGAGUGGUUGGGCAACCUUUUCUCUCUUCAACACUUUGUACUUAUUUGGACGCAAGAACCUUUUUUAUCUGGCCUAAAGUGGAUGCCAUGUAACAGCACACCAAAUUGCAACACCUAUUCAUUCAUAACUGCCUCAAGAUAAAUGAUAGAAGUGCUGAGAGUUAUUGACCAAUUCUGGUCCAAUGACGAGGAAUGAAUUAAAGAGGAAGCUGUUUGAAGUUCACACAUAUAUUAUCACAACAAUGUGUGUCGAAACUAUAUUAUAUUCAGUUGGAAGAACAUUUAAUUAAUUUUAUGGAGUUUAAUAGAAGUUCGUCAAAGUUGGGGAAGAUUCUAUUAAGGAGCAGCAUAUAAGAAUUAUGUGAUUGCACAAAGCUGAUGCAUGUGCACCCAUGCAACGCCUCACCACAUUAUUACAUCAUCAAGAGGAAGGAUGCGGUAAAUGUAAUGCCUUAGGUUUUCUAGUAGCAUCUUGAAAUUUAUGUGAUAUCAGGAAAGGCUAGUGGCAAAGGCAGGAAAAAGAUGGAAUAUGAGAUUUCUUGCUGAACUUGGUCAGGGUAGUAAGGAUAGGAACCAUUCAUUUUCUUCCCCUACUUAUUAUAAAUUCCUUCAAAAGUUUAUGGUGAGUAAAUGUCAUUUCAUCCUUUUUAUAUUGAUAAUGAUACCUAUUUAUAUCAUCAAUUGGAGUCACUAAAUGUUAAUGAUGUUGGAACCUUUCUAGAGUGGUGGGUGAUGUAGAACAGAGCUCAUUAGAAUUCAGUGUGCGGAAAAUUCAAGAAGUUGAAAAGUACUAUUAGAAGUUGUUGGAGAUCACGGUAAAAUUGCGUGAAAUUUGGUGACAUGAAGGGAAAUGGUGUUGGGAGUAAAACUCAUAGCCUUUGGCCACGAUCGAACAUGCUUUUUGGAAAGUAACGUGUUUGUUUUCUUGUAACUUCUGCAACAAUAGUGGGGCAGCUUCAAAUCUUUUCAAGAAAUGAAACCCAAGAACAAGAAUGCACUACCUUCCAGUAAAGAAAGAUUACAGACAAAAGAUUGGUCAUAAUCCAGAAAUCACAAAAGGCGGACUUACAAAUUGAUUCCAGUACUUUUUAUUCCUAAACUCACUAGGAAUUUGGAAAAUUGACUGCAAUAGGGAGUGUUGAUGACCUUGUUCGUGUUAUAUGGAAUUUUUCAUAAUCAUGAUGUCCAACAUUUCAGGCUACACACAAAUCAAACAUUAUGUGUGCCUAAGCUCAAGUUGCUGCCUCAUCUACUUCAACAAUCGCAAGUAAGAUAUUUUGAAAUCAAAAAGAGUAAACAAGAGUGGGUGACUUUCCACUAUAGUUGCAGAACCUUUAUUUAGUUGAUGAGAUGUCUAUAAACAGUUGCAAGAAGUUGAGAUAUCUACCAGCAUGGGUGUGGUGCCUCACUAAAUAACAGAUGAUGCCAUGUUGAUUUGUAGAUAAACUUAAAGUCCGGUUUGCUGUAUAGUGUGCACUAUAAGGAAGUAUAACUUGAGAUUCAAAUCAAAUUAAACAAGAAGGUUAACAUCUUUUUUCUUUUGAGAUCAAAUUAUAAUGUUGGGUUGGCUGGAACCAUGACUUGAAUGUACAUGCAAGUGUCAAUUGGGUAUAUUAGGUAUCACUUCGACAAUGAAUCAAGAUUCCUGACAAUUUGUCCGCUGUUCAAAUCCUAUGUUUUGAUUUCCUAACUUAAAGUCUCUGUUGUAGUGACUUCAGCAGUUUUCUAGAUUAUGAGUCUUAUCUUAUUGUCAGUCUUGUUGUCUUAACUAUGAGGCCAACCUGUUUGGGUGCUCCACUUCAUAUACCUGUAUGGAGGGUAACAGCCUACAAAUUGCAAACAAGGCAAUGGACAGAAGUCUCUGUCUGAAAAGUUGACAGUUCUUUACUUAAAUGGGUAAAUAUGAAGUCUACUUCCAGAAGGGAAUGGUUAAAAGCGCUGGAUACUCACUCUUUAGUGCCAUUCUAGUUUUCGAUUCCCUGGGCUGGUAUCUUGGAAAACAUCAAAAGGUAAUGCCAAUUGCAUCAGAAUGUGAAGUGUGCUGUUCAGCGGAGACAUCAUUGCUGCCUGUAUUUAAGACUCCAAUCUUGAUAAUAGGUGACCUCAUCUGCCGCAACAAUAGAAUGUCUUCUCUAAAAACUGACUUUAUAUACUGAAGGCAUUGAAAUUUAUUUUCGACCUACAGCCAAAGCAAGGGAGAUAUGGCAAGCUACUAUGAUCCAUAUUGCCCAAGAAGGUGGCUGCUUUGUUCUAUCUUCAAACCAAUUCUGCAAAAAGAGGAGACUAUCCGUUGUCAACAGAAACGUAUGUCAAUACAAUAAGAAGUAUUGCACGUAGUGUUAUUUUAUUGUCAUCCAGUUGUGACCAUUCUGGCUGAACCUAAUUUCCAAGGGAGUCUCUCAUCUGAAACAAUCUUUUCCUCUCUUAAUGUUCCAGAACUUGGAGGGUGUUUGAGCAAAGCUAGAUUUUAGUGGAAAGAGGCAUCAAGUGGGACCAAACUCAGUCAAUCUGACUCUGAAUAUACCCAAUCCAAUUUCUUUUACAACUUCUGUGAAAGUGGAAGUUCUUGGUGAGCUACAAUUAUGACUUAGCUGUGUAAAAAGUUAUUAAACAAAUUUCUUCUAGCUUUCCUCUUGCCAAACAGCUAAUCUAAGCUUUGUAUAUAUCUUUUGUAAUGUUUAGAGGUGUAUAGAGGUUAGAUAGUGUCCAUGAUUCGUCCAACACAUUUUGAAGAUUUCAAAUAUUUGCAUAGAUUUUCCUGUACAGUUCAUGAAUAUGUUAGUCCUAGCAUAUUUGCAAUUGCCGUGAUGAACUUUCAUAUGUAUACUAAAUUAUGUAUCUUUUCCCCUUA